UGGGGAAUCUUGGACAAUGGGGGCAACCCUGAUCCAGCCAUGCCGCGUGAGUGAUGAAGGCCUUAGGGUCGUAAAGCUCUUUCGCCUGUGAAGAUAAUGACGGUAGCAGGUAAAGAAACCCCGGCUAACUCCGUGCCAGCAGCCGCGGUAAUACGGAGGGGGUUAGCGUUGUUCGGAAUUACUGGGCGUAAAGCGCACGUAGGCGGACCAGAAAGUUGGGGGUGAAAUCCCGGGGGCUCAACCCCGGAACUGCCUCCAAAACUAUUGGUCUAGAGUUCGAGAGAGGUGAGUGGAAUUCCAAGUGUAGAGGUGAAAUUCGUAGAUAUUUGGAGGAACACCAGUGGCGAAGGCGGCUCACUGGCUCGAUACUGACGCUGAGGUGCGAAAGUGUGGGGAGCAAACAGGAUUAGAUACCCUGGUAGUCCACACCGUAAAACGAUGAAUGCCAGUCGUCGGGUAGCAUGCUAUUCGGUGACACACCUAACGGAUUAAGCAUUCCGGCCUGGGGAGUACGGUCG
rnacentral:rRNA from 1 species